UACGUAGGCAGCAAGCGUUGUUCGGAGUUACUGGGCGUAAAGAGUAUGUAGGCGGUUGGGUAAGUUUGGUGUGAAAUCUCCCGGCUUAACUGGGAGGGUGCGCUAAAGACUGCCUGGCUCGAGUGUGGGAGAGGAAAGCGGAAUUCCUGGUGUAGCGGUGAAAUGCGUAGAUAUCAGGAGGAACACCUGCGGUGUAGACGGCUUUCUGGACCAUAGCUGACGCUGAGGAGCGAAAGCGUGGGGAGCGAACAGG
rnacentral:rRNA from 1 species